UUUAAGGAUCCUCUGCUCUUUGACCACAUACGGAACCAUUACAGUGUUUUUUUUAUGUUUCUGUGAAGCCUCCAGCCGUCAUGGCUGGUCUUAACUUAGCAAACAGUCUCCUCUGAACCCAUGCAGGCACCACUCACCUGUAAUGAUCCGUAAACAUAGAAGUUAAACAGUUUAAGGCACUUAUUUAAUUUUAUUUAAAAUUGUUUUACAUGUCGAUUUCCUGCAGAAAUACAUGGUGGUGCUCAAGCACUUGAGCCUUUUUGAUAGUCCUAAAAGUCUGAAGUACACAUGGACUCUUAUGCAGUGAGACGCCAUGAGUGAGACAGAGACAUCAGCAUAGAUCUGAGGUGCUGCUCAACGUAUUACAGGACUGAAGGAGUUAUGAUGACUGCUAUACUCUACAGGCUGUGAGGGACUUUGUGCUAUGAAGUGAUGACUCUCAUGUGUUCAGCAGACCCUGGACUUGACUUGAUGCCCACAGCGGGGGGGAGUAUUAUUCACUGAGCUGGUAUUUAUAGGCGGAAGGAAAGCAGCUUUGAUAGAGUGUCCUCCAAGAAGGGAUGUACACAUGUCCCCAACUUCGUGCCUCUUCCCCUUUUCAUCUCUUUUUCUGCUUUAUCAAACAAUGCUCUGAAGUUCUGUGUGAUGUGCAUUUAAGGAGAUCUGGAGCUCCGUUAAAAUGUCAAGAGCCUAAAGCAUCUGAUUGAACUGCCGUAUAAAAGUCUAACUGGUCAUCCAAGACCCGUCCAGUCAUCAGUCACCCAGGAAGAUGAAAAGGGAUCAUCGCCAUCAGCUGACAGUUCAGAAAGGACACCAGACACACACACACACGCACACUCACACGCUCGUGGGCGCGUGCACACACACACACACACACACACACACACACACACACACACACACACACACAGAUAAAACUAAUCCCAGUGACUGCAUGUCUAAACACUUCUCCCUCACUCACUCCGGGGCCAUUUGACUGAUGAUGUCACGUCUUUUCCUGAGCUCUUUCCUUUGAUGUUUGCAGAAUUCAGAUUUUUAUGAAGUGAAAACCUGCAGGAACUCCAGCUGGCUGAUUGUGAUGCUUACAGUUGACCCACAUACAGUGGGCUGGCAUGCCUCAUCCUUUUAACUUAACUAAAUCAUCUCUUUUCUGCAUGAAUUUGCUUAAGCUCUAAAUGGAAAUGGACUUUAUCAUUGCAAUAAAACUCCUUCUAGCCUUAAAGCCAUGUGGAGUAUAAGGAUUAGUACCAUCGUCAGGAACCGGCCAAAUCCAGUCUUGUUCACGUCCACACAGGUGACACGGCCUACUUUAAUCUUUUAUUACCGUUAAAUUGUUAUAGAACUACAUAGUAAGAUGCUACUUUUUUUCAGGCUUUAAAGGGUGAAAGUAGUCAGUUUUAAUUGAGCUGAGCUGUAGCAACAUGAAUGGCCUCAUUUGUGACCCAAAGGUCACACUUCCUCAGCUGGGUCGAGCUGUCCUGGCUGUACUUCUAUCUACAGAUUAUCCAUCACAGGAGGCACAAAGUCUGCUGUAAACCAUCUUUAAUCUGACUGCUGUUCUAUCCGCAAGAUGAAGGACACUUCAAGAUUUAAAAGAAUCAUUUAAAAAAACCUCUUUUCACUGUUUAUUACAAUGUUCAUAAAUAAUCAUCAUAGUUCAUUAUUAAUGUAUUUAAUUACUGAAAUGAAUUAUUAUUAUUUGGUUAAUAAUUAUUAUUAUUUAUGAUAAUCAGUAAUGUCUAACAGUGACAAGAAGGUCAUGUGCACUUGUACACACCAUGCAGGACUCAGACAUCAGGGUUAAAGGUAACUGCUCUCACAUGUCUUUGCUCCAUAACCAAAGCUUUCUAUCUCUGAGAGGGCGUGUCCUGAGGUUUGUUAAAUCCUAAACUCCUCAGUUCAAGUUCAGUUUUUAUGAGCUCACCAAAAAUCUCUCCGUGGCGACGAGAGUCCCAGAGGAUCGAGACGGCUGCUCGAAACCUCUACUAAGCUGCUCUGUCACACUGAUAGAAUUGCUUCAACAAGAAACACCAUCUGCAACCAGCUGACGCAAAACUCCUUCAGAAUUAUUGAUUUUUGAGACGCAACCACUUUCAUUAGUCGUUGUGACCCGGAGACAUCUCAGGACCGAUUUGGUGGCACUAAGGUUCUUCUACCCACCUCGUGCUUGGGGGUCAUCAGCUCCUCCUGACAUCUCGGAUCCAAGAAGGGGGUCUCCUAACUGGGUGAGGUAGACACUUCCGACAGACUGCGUCCGCAUGCCUGUUUCUUUAAGAAAUAACUUAGCUCAGCUGCAAAACAACUCUUGCACCCAG
ensembl:lncRNA